rnacentral:misc_RNA from 1 species
CGCACCUUGCGCUCCUUGGUAUUCCGAGGAGCAUGCCUGUUUGAGUGUCGUGAAAUCAUCAACCUGAAGGCCUUUGUGGCUUACAGGCUUGGACUUGGAGGCUUGUUGGCCCUUGCGGUCGGCUCCUCUCAAAUGCAUUAGCUUGAUUCCUUGCGGAUCGGCUCUCGGUGUGAUAAUUGUCUACGCCGUGACCGUGAAGCGUUUGGCGAGCUUCUAGUCGUCUCUUUGAGACAGCUUUUAUCGACCUCUGACCUCAAAUCAGGUAGGACUACCCGCUGAACUUAA